AAUGGCACAAGGAAUAUCAAUUUCUGGAAACCACUGGGAGUGUGCUCAUGCGCUUAGGCUCUGCUUUGAGCUUCCCAGAGGCAACUGAGUGGCUACUGUUAGAACAGGAUACUGGAGCAGUUGUGCAGGCUCAAAAUUCUCUUCCUUCACCCUACAGACUGGCUCUGAUGGAAGAAAUCACCAGAGGGCAUAAUGCGUAAGAUUGAUAUCCGACACCCAGCACCUCUAACCAUCAAUAUGGUCAGUUCCAUAAAUUGUGCUUGGGUUCUGCAAGGUGAUGUAUAAUCAUAUACACUUAUGUUGACUCUCCCUCAGAAUCAAAGAAACAGGCUGAAAAAGUUUGGGAGCCUGAGUUACCAAUAGUUGAGCUGAUCCCAGCCAGGAAUCUAUUGUAGCAGAAGCGAUGGAUGAAGGUGCUCUUGCCAACUCCGGAAUUACCAAGAAACACUACUUUGAAGACACGGUCAGGAGAAGAACUAGCUGGCUCCAAUAUCUGGAUGUAAAAACCAUUAUCAAGGACAAGGGGAGUACUUCCUGGAGCAAGCUGCCUGUGCCAAGGCACGCAAACGAUGGGAAGAAAUGUCCAAAAGCAUCAGCACAAUCAACAUCAGCAUUUACAGAAAACUUACCCACACUUUCAUGUAAUGUCAGCACUGAUGAGGACAAGAAACCAACAAAAUGUGAGGAGGGAGGAGAGGAGCAGCAGCAGGUAUAUCAAUAGGUUCCAGAAUCCUUAAGGCAUAUCCAUACUACAAAUGUAUGCUGGUUUUUAAAUGAGUUUUGCCUCUUGGGGCUCCACUAGAUGGGACACUGAGAAUUGUACUUUUGGAGGGGCUCCAAGAAGUGUUAACACCCACAGAAAUGAAUGCAUGAACAAAACAAACAAUUAACAUGUGGAGGUGUGGACAGGGCCAGAGGCAAUGCUCAUAAUUUUUGGCAAACUACCUUGAUUGUCCAAUAUGCCUAUCUAGUUGUGCUCUAUAUUUACAUAUUACCAUCCCAAAGGAGGCCAGAGCUGCUCACAUAGUUCAGAAAUGUGUGAAAUAACUUUGCUUGUGGUGUUCUGCCCCUCCCCUCUAAAUGCAUGCAAUGUAGGAAACUUAAGGGUGUGUAUAUGUUGAAUCUCCUUGUUAUCAAAAUUAGACUCACCCCUCCUACCCCCCUACACAGUCUCAUUCAGUCACCAGUGCCCCACAGUCCCAAGUUCAUCAAAGGGCAAUUCCCCAAGGACACCCAUUGCCUCAACCUUAGUUCAGUUGAAGAGGAGAAAGGGAGAGAACAGUGUGACCCAACAGACCGACUGUGGUGACUACAGACCGACAGCAUGCAGUGGGACACAACACAACAUAUUCAGCUCUGACCGUUUGACUGGCUUCUCCUCCACUAGGUAUUUGCCUAUCGCUGACCCCUUCUUCAAGAGGGGUCUUUUGCUUUCAAGUGCCUGAAAAUUAGAGAGAGCAAUUUGGAAUCUGUCAUCUAAGUAAAUUAAGAAAAAACAAGCACCAUGUCACUUUGGGAGAGGCUCUCCAACAUUUAGUCAAGAUUACCCCAGGAGCUGCCAUUUUGUGGCUGAUGAGACAUUAAAAGGUUUUUCAGUUUUGGGUUUGGCAUACAGAAAGUACUCAACUUACUUCAGUACCCCACUUGUUAUUUAUAUUUAGAAUUUAAAUUCCAAUAACAAGUAAUGCAUUCUCAGGAUGAAAGUACAAUUUCCCAGCUUUAAAAUGCAUCCCAGAGAUGUAACAGCUCUGCACCCUGCUUCCAAAGUUGUGUGGAUCACUCACAACAGAUUAAUCAUAAUGGGACAUUUAUUGUGCUGAGUACGGUUUAGAAUGAUGAAUGGAAAGAUUAUUCAUAAAUAUAUUAGUUGUUUCAUUCAAGUGGGUUUUAUUGUGUGCUUUGGGCAGACUCAGAACCCAGUCUUAACCAUCUGAUUGGACCUCUAAAUGGUCUGUCAUAAUACAGUCAUACAAAAGAAACACUUUACGCAAUGGAACAUGAGCACGAAAGAGGCAAUUGUUUCCUGGCUGUUUCUCUAGCUCUUGCCAGCUUUUAUUGGCUCAGUGUAACAUUGGCAUUUAAAAACAGACGAUAAAGGAAUAUUGCAUUGCAAUGACAGCACACACAAGCAUGAAAUAUUUGAUGAGAACGAUAACAGGGUGCAUGGCAUUUUAUUAUGGAAGUCUGGAUCACAGGCUCACAUUCCAACAACAGCAUGAAUUCUGCAGUAUUUUGCCAUCACAAUAUUUGCUGUAAACACAUACCAAAGACACAUAUACUGUAACUAGACUCGUGAAUGAAUGGGUUGUACCUGGUAGUUCCUAGACUUCUGGAAGGUGCAUGCAGGUUUCUCAUUAAGGGACACACAAAGGACCAGAUUGUACAUGGCAAACAACUCCCUCCAAAACUUGUGGAUGUAUGGACUUGGGGAAACUCAGUUUCCAUUCAUAACACACAGCGGUACAACCAAGCGCAGUACAAGAUGCAGAAGCUCAAGGCACAAUGUUUUCAAAUAUCAAUUUCAAAAUUAACUUCAGAAUGUUUAGGGUGGUAAUCCGGAUUAAUGAACUACUGGGGACCUGAAGGGAUUGGCAGAGGAAAAGAAGAUGCAAGGACCUGAGUAGUCCUCUGCAGCCUUGGAACUUGUAAAGGUAUCAGCAGAGUUUCCACACUGUGCUUCAACUGUCCUAGUUUUGCACAGUAUCUCAGGGCCUUACUAGAGUAAAUGUUGGAAAACUCUUUUGAAAUGCUUUUAGAAGCAUCUGUGAGCAAAUUAGACUAGGACUGGAGUGCCUGAUUGCUUGGUCCAAUCUGAGAACUCAGAUGUGCCCCUUGCAAUCUCUUCAGAAGGAUGAGGCAGGGGGCAAAUCACCUGCUGGAUCAAUGUCUUAGCUGCACUUCGCCAUGCAAGGCACCUGCUGUGCCUUUUAACUCUUGUCUUGCCUAUGUACUGUGCUGACUGAAGCAUUAAAGAUUUUGGCAGAAACCAAAAUCAAAGCUCUUCAUCCACCCGGACAUUUCCUCCCAUUUAAGUGUGCAUGGAUCCACUCAGAUCUCUCCCAUGCUUCGUUUAGUUUGGCCUUCUCCCUCACAGUGCCAAAUGAUUUCCAGUGCUGGCAUUUAUGCAUAAACAGUCUUGGCAUAUUUAGAAGAUUUUAAUACUUCACUAUUGCAAGGUCUCCCUGUUAUAUGUUGAAGCAGACUUGGAAAUAUGUCUUGCAGCGCUGGCAAACUGUCAUAAACAUGCAGGCAAGAACAAGCCAGAUAUCUCUCCUACGGAACGAUGCACUCAAACUCUGGCAACCUGAUUGGUCCAUCAUUAUGUCACAGUGAAUGAAGACUGGUACUGACUACCAACCAGGAAUCUCUAGCUAAAAAACAGUACAGUUGCAAAUCUAAUGGCAACAGAAACAUCAAGCUAGGAAGGCCCUUCAGGCUUUAAAACCAAAAACCUCACCAGAUCUACAUUAUGCCAGUAUACCCCAAGUGUGCACUGGAGUUUGUGCUCUUCUCUAUCUUAGAAAAGCAACAGCGUGCAGAUGCUCCAACAGACAGACACAAGCAUUGACGUCUUGGACAAAAGAGAAAUAUACGAAGGGCCCAUCAUCAAGAGGCUUCAAGACAGGAA